rnacentral:rRNA from 1 species
AAAGGAGGUAAGAUCAUAAUACAAAACACGCUCCGUCACCCUCAAGACACCGCCCGUCACCCUCCACACACCGCCCGUCACCCUCACACACCGCCCGUCACCCUCACACACCGCCCGUCACCCUCACACACCGCCCGUCACCCUCACACACCGCCCGUCACCCUCACACACCGCCCGUCACCCUCACACACCGCCCGUCACCCUCACACACCGCCCGUCACCCUCACACACCGCCCGUCACCCUCACACACGGCCCGGCACCCUCACUGGGGUGGGGUAACUGGCAUACAUUUUCUAACAUCCUCAAAACGAAACAGGCCCUGAAACCCGCCCUUAGAAGGAGGAUUUAGCAGUAAAGUGAGAUCAUACCCCCUAAGCUCACUUUAAGACGGCUCUGAGGCCCGUACACACCGCCCGUCACCCUCCCACACCGCCGGUCCCCCUCACACA